rfam:Triticum aestivum genome assembly, contig: Triticum_aestivum_CS42_TGACv1_scaffold_133276_2BL
UACGUACUCUCUCCGUCCCAAAAUACUUGUCGAAAAAAUUAAUAAAAAUAGAUGUAUCUAGAACUAAAAUACAAAUAGAUACAUUCAUUUCUCCGACAAGUAUUUCCGGACGGAGGGAGUACUAU